GACGAACGCUGGCGGCGUGCCUAAUACAUGCAAGUAGAACGCACAGUUUAUACCGUAGCUUGCUACACCAUAGACUGUGAGUUGCGAACGGGAGAGAAACGCGUAGGUAACCUGCCUGGCAGCGGGGGAUAACUAUCGGAAACGAUAGCUAAUACUGCAUAAUAUUAAUUAUUGCAUGAUAAAUAAUUGAAAGGUGCAAUUGCACCACUACCAGAUGGACCUGCGUUGUAUUAGCUAGUAGGUGAGGUAACGGCUCACCUAGGCGACGAUACAUAGCCGACCUGAGCGGGUGAUCGGCCACCCUGGGACUGAGACACGGCCCAGACUCCUACGGGAGGCAGCAGUAGCGAAUCUUCGGCAAUGGACGAAAGUCUGACCGAGCAACGCCGCGUGAGUGAAGAAGGUUUUCGGAUCGUAAAGCUCUGUUGUAAGAGAAGAACGGGUGUGAGAGUGGAAAGUUCACACUGUGACGGUAUCUUACCAGAAAGGAACGGCUAACUACGUG
rnacentral:rRNA from 1 species